GUAGCUUGCUACUUUGCUGACGAGCGGCGGACGGGUGAGUAAUGCUUGGGAACAUGCCUUGAGGUGGGGGACAACAGUUGGAAACGACUGCUAAUACCGCAUAAUGUCUACGGACCAAAGGGGGCUUCGGCUCUCGCCUUUAGAUUGGCCCAAGUGGGAUUAGCUAGUUGGUGAGGUAAUGGCUCACCAAGGCGACGAUCCCUAGCUGGUUUGAGAGGAUGAUCAGCCACACUGGGACUGAGACACGGCCCAGACUCCUACGGGAGGCAGCAGUGGGGAAUAUUGCACAAUGGGCGCAAGCCUGAUGCAGCCAUGCCGCGUGUGUGAAGAAGGCCUUCGGGUUGUAAAGCACUUUCAGUCAGGAGGAAAGGUUAGUAGUUAAUACCUGCUAGCUGUGACGUUACUGACAGAAGAAGCACCGGCUAACUCCGUGCCAGCAGCCGCGGUAAUACGGAGGGUGCGAGCGUUAAUCGGAAUUACUGGGCGUAAAGCGUACGCAGGCGGUUUGUUAAGCGAGAUGUGAAAGCCCCGGGCUCAACCUGGGAACUGCAUUUCGAACUGGCAAACUAGAGUGUGAUAGAGGGUGGUAGAAUUUCAGGUGUAGCGGUGAAAUGCGUAGAGAUCUGAAGGAAUACCGAUGGCGAAGGCAGCCACCUGGGUCAACACUGACGCUCAUGUACGAAAGCGUGGGGAGCAAACGGGAUUAGAUACCCCGGUAGUCCACGCCGUAAACGAUGUCUACUAGAAGCUCGGAGCCUCGGUUCUGUUUUUCAAAGCUAACGCAUUAAGUAGACCGCCUGGGGAGUACGGCCGCAAGGUUAAAACUCAAAUGAAUUGACGGGGGCCCGCACAAGCGGUGGAGCAUGUGGUUUAAUUCGAUGCAACGCGAAGAACCUUACCUACACUUGACAUACAGAGAACUUACCAGAGAUGGUUUGGUG
rnacentral:rRNA from 1 species